rnacentral:rRNA from 2 species
CGUUAGCGGCGGAACGGGUGAGUAACACGUGGGAAAUUGCCUGUAAGACUGGGAUAACUUCGGGAAACCGAAGCUAAUACCGGAUAGGAUCUUCUCCUUCAUGGGAGAUGAUUGAAAGAUGGUUUCGGCUAUCACUUACAGAUGGGCCCGCGGUGCAUUAGCUAGUUGGUGAGGUAACGGCUCACCAAGGCAACGAUGCAUAGCCGACCUGAGAGGGUGAUCGGCCACACUGGGACUGAGACACGGCCCAGACUCCUACGGGAGGCAGCAGUAGGGAAUCUUCCGCAAUGGACGAAAGUCUGACGGAGCAACGCCGCGUGAGUGAUGAAGGCUUUCGGGUCGUAAAACUCUGUUGUUAGGGAAGAAC